CGGGGAAUGGAAGACUUUGCAUGGGGAAAUGGGUAGUUUUACCGCUGGAAAGCUUGCAUAUGUGAUGACUCUGGUUUGGACAGCUAUAGCUUGGCAGAUAUGCUCAGUUGGGGUUGUUGGUUUGGUUUUCGUGGUGUCCUCAUUGUUCUCUAAUGUCAUUAGUACACUUUCCUUGGCGAUCACCCCUAUUGCUUCAGUGAUAAUCCUCCAUGACACGUUGAACGGUGUGAAGGUAAUUGCCAUGCUGAUGGCGAUUUGGGGAUUCUGUACUUACAUAUACCAGAAUUACGUCGAUGAUCUUAAGGCAAGCAAAGCACCAAGUGCAGUUGAUGAUAGUCCAAACGAGUCAAGAUCUUGCUGAAGGCUUUGUUGACUGGUAAUUAUAUAGACACUAUAGUUCUG
rnacentral:misc_RNA from 1 species